GUCCCGCAACGAGCGCAACCCCUACCGUGUGUUACCAUCAUUAGUGGGACUCGCACGGAACUGCCGGUGAUAACCGGAGGAAGUGGGAUGACGUCAAAUCCUCAUGGCCUUUAUGUGUAGGGCUUCACACGUCAUACAAUGGUCGGUACAAAGGGUUGCCAAGCCGCGAGGUGGAGCCAAUCCCAGAAAGCCGAUCGUAGUCCGGAUUGCAGGCUGCAACUCGCCUGCAUGAAGUCGGAAUCGCUAGUAAUCGUGGAUCAGCAUGUCACGGUGAAUACGUUCCCGGGUCUU
rnacentral:rRNA from 1 species